rnacentral:rRNA from 1 species
UACGAAGGGGGCUAGCGUUGCUCGGAAUUACUGGGCGUAAAGCGCACGUAGGCGGCUUUCUAAGUCGGGGGUGAAAUCCUGGAGCUCAACUCCAGAACUGCCUUCGAUACUGGAGAGCUUGAGUCCGGGAGAGGUGAGUGGAACUGCGAGUGUAGAGGUGAAAUUCGUAGAUAUUCGCAAGAACACCAGUGGCGAAGGCGGCUCACUGGCCCGGUACUGACGCUGAGGUGCGAAAGCGUGGGGAGCAAACAGGAUUGAGAA